rnacentral:rRNA from 1 species
CGACCUUGAAAUACCACCCUUUAAUGUUUGAUGUUCUAACGUUGGCCCCUAAUCGGGGUUGCGGACAGUGUCUGGUGGGUAGUUUGACUGGGGCGGUCUCCUCCUAAAGAGUAACGGAGGAGCACGAAGGUUGGCUAAUCCUGGUCGGACAUCAGGAGGUUAGUGCAAUGGCAUAAGCCAGCUUGACUGCGAGCGUGACGGCGCGAGCAGGUGCGAAAGCAGGUCAUAGUGAUCCGGUGGUUCUGAAUGGAAGGGCCAUCGCUCAACGGAUAAAAGGUACUCCGGGGAUAACAGGCUGAUACCGCCCAAGAGUUCAUAUCGACGGCGGUGUUUGGCACCUCGAUGUCGGCUCAUCACAUCCUGGGGCUGAAGUAGGUCCCAAGGGUAUGGCUGUUCGCCAUUUAAAGUGGUACGCGAGCUGGGUUUAGAACGUCGUGAGACAGUUCGGUCCCUAUCUGCCGUGGGCGCUGGAGAACUGAGGGGGGCUGCUCCUAGUACGAGAGGACCGGAGUGGACGCAUCACUGGUGUUCGGGUUGUCAUGCCAAUGGCACUGCCCGGUAGCUAAAUGCGGAAGAGAUAAGUGCUGAAAGCAUCUAAGCACGAAACUUGCCCCGAGAUGAGUUCUCCCUGACUCCCUGAGAGUCCUGAAGGAACGUUGAAGACGACGACGUUGAUAGGCCGGGUGUGUAAGCGCAGCGAUGCGUUGAGCUAACCGGUACUAAUGAACCGUGAGG